AGAGCAAAAGGGCAAACCCGCUGAAAGGCGGGGACGCAAAGCCACGGGUCUGAAGCUGAAAAGCCAUGACAGCCGGGUUGCCGAA
rnacentral:ncRNA from 1 species